rnacentral:rRNA from 2 species
UUGUCAUGCCAAUGGCACUGCCCGGUAGCUAAAUGCGGAAGAGAUAAGUGCUGAAAGCAUCUAAGCACGAAACUUGCCCCGAGAUGAGUUCUCCCUGAGACUUAGAGUCUCCUGAAGGAACGUUGAAGACGACGACGUUGAUAGGCCGGGUGUGUAAGCGCAGCGAUGCGUUGAGCUAACCGGUACUAAUGAACCGUGAGGCUUAACCUU